GCCUGGAUAGCUCAGUUGGGAGAGCACUCGACCGGCAAUCGAGAGGUCCCGGGUUCGAACCCCGGUUCAGUCCCUGCCGCA
rnacentral:tRNA from 1 species